rnacentral:misc_RNA from 1 species
GAAAUGCGAUAAGUAAUGUGAAUUGCAGAAUUCAGUGAAUCAUCGAAUCUUUGAACGCACCUUGCGCUCCUUGGUAUUCAUUGGAGCAUGCCUGUUUGAGUAUCAUGAAAUCUUCAAAGUAAAUCUUUUGUUAACUCAAUUGGUUUCUACUUUGGUAUUGGAGGUCUUUGCAGCUUCACACCUGCUCCUCUUUGUUCAUUAGCUGGAUCUCAGUGUUAUGCUUGGUUCCACUCGGCGUGAUAAGUUAUCUAUCGCUGAGGACACUGUAAAAGGUGGCCAAGGUAAAUGCAGAUGAACCGCUUCUAAUAGUCCAUUGACUUGGACAAUACUUUUAUGAUCUGAUCUCAAAUCAGGUAGGACUACCCGCUGAACUUGAGC